rnacentral:rRNA from 1 species
GACGAACCGUGCAAACGUUGUUCGGCCUCACGGGGCUUAAAGGGCGCGUAGGUGGCUCAUCAAGUCGGGGGUGAAAUCUUUCGGCUCAACCGGAAAAGUGCCUUCGAUACUGAUGAGCUAGAGCGAGGUAGGGGCAGAUGGAACUUCCGGUGGAGCGGUGAAAUGUGUUGAUAUCGGAAGGAACGCCGGUGGCGAAAGCGAUCUGCUGGACCUCUUCUGACGCUGAGGCGCGAAAGCCAGGGGAGCAAACGGG